GACCAUCCUCCAAGGCUAAAUACUCCUGACUGACCGAUAGUGAACCAGUACCGUGAGGGAAAGGCGAAAAGAACCCCGGCGAGGGGAGUGAAAAAGAACCUGAAACCGUGUACGUACAAGCAGUGGGAGCCUCUUUUAUGGGGUGACUGCGUACCUUUUGUAUAAUGGGUCAGCGACUUAUAUUCUGUAGCAAGGUUAACCGUAUAGGGGAGCCGAAGGGAAACCGAGUCUUAACUGGGCGUUAAGUUGCAGGGUAUAGACCCGAAACCCGGUGAUCUAGCCAUGGGCAGGUUGAAGGUUGGGUAACACUAACUGGAGGACCGAACCGACUAAUGUUGA
rnacentral:rRNA from 1 species